AUUGAACGCUGGCGGCAGGCUUAACACAUGCAAGUCGAGCGGGGUGAUGGUGCUUGCACUAUCACUUAGCGGCGGACGGGUGAGAAAUGCUUAGGAAUCUGCCUAUUAGUGGGGGACAACAUCUCGAAAGGGAUGCUAAUACCGCAUACGUCCUACGGGAGAAAGCAGGGGAUCACUUGUGACCUUGCGCUAAUAGAUGAGCCUAAGUCGGAUUAGCUAGUUGGUGGGGUAAAGGCCUACCAAGGCGACGGUCUGUAGCGGGUCUGAGAGGAUGAUCCGCCACACUGGGACUGAGACACGGCCCAGGCUCCUACGGGAGGCAGCAGUGGGGGAUAUUGGACAAUGGGGGGAACCCUGAUCCAGCCAUGCCGCGUGUGUGAAGAAGGCCUUAUGGUUGUAAAGCACUUUAAGCGAGGAGGAGGCUCUUUUGGUUAAUACCCAAGAUGAGUGGACGUUACUCGCAGAAUAAGCACCGGCUAACUCUGUGCCAGCCGCCGCGGUAA
rnacentral:rRNA from 1 species